rfam:Gossypium hirsutum cultivar TM-1 chromosome 19, whole genome shotgun sequence
UUCUGUGGAUGAUGAGAAAAUUUUGAAAUCAGUUAUCCCUGGCUGAUUUUUCGUUGUUUAUGAUGACAUCUUGUGAUCUGACACAGAC